UGCCUAUCUCCGCCUGUUGCUCCUAUGGGGGCUACUGCCGGUCCCAAGCCCGGGUAAAGGAGGAGGGUUAGGCA
ncrna:Schistosoma mansoni type-P1 twister ribozyme